rnacentral:rRNA from 1 species
UAACCUGGUUUGAUCCUGCCAGUAGUCAUAUGCUUGCCUCAAAGGUUAAAGCCAUGCAUGUCUAAGUAUAAAUAGUUUUAUACUGUUGAAACUGCGAACGGCUCAUUAUAUCAGCAAUUAUUAAUUUGAUGGUUUUUUCUACAUGGAUAACUGUAGCAAUUCUAGAGCUAAUACAUGCCUCACAUAUAAUCACCUGCCUGCUCGUAGGUCGUAUUUAUUAGAUUAAACUCACACAAAGAUUUUUUUUGAAUCUUCUGUUUCAGCUUUGAUUUCUAGUAACUUUUUUAAUCGUUGUCUUUGUAUGGUAUGCGUACACGGCGAUAGUUCAUUCAAAUUUCUGCCCUAUCAGCUAGACGGUAGUGUAGUGGACUACCGUGGCGUUAACGGGUGACGGGGAAUUAGGGUUCGAUUCCGGAGAGGGAGCCUGAGAGACGGCUACCACAUCCAAGGAAGGCAGCAGGCGCGCAAAUUACCCAAUCCCGACUAAGGGAGGUAGUGACAAGAACUAACAAUACCGUGCCUAUUUUUGUGCGUGGUAAUUGGAAUGAGUACAAUUUAAAUCUCAUAACGAGGAUCAAGUGGAGGGCAAGUCUGGUGCCAGCAGCCGCGGUAAUUCCAGCUCCAUUAGCGUAUAUUAAUGCUGCUGCAGUUAAAAAGCUCGUAGUUGGAUUUCUGGUAUGAUUCGUCUGUCCUUAUUGUGUUGUUACCGAGUUGGACUCACACAAGUGCAUGGUCGAGUCUGCCAACUUUAUUGAAUUUUGUCAGCGAUUGUUUUUCUUAUGUAUUUUUUUAUUAUUACAAUAAAUGUAUAUGAAAAAAUAGGAACUGAGAUAUUUUUACUUUGAGGAAAUGAGAGUGUCUAAAGCAUGUAAACGGAAAGUGUUGAAUUGAUUAGCAUGGAAUAAUAUUAUAGGACAUUGGUUAUAUUUUUGUUGGUUUGUGAAUUAUUGAUGUAAUGGUUGACAGGGAUAGUUGGGGGUGCUAGUAUCCAAUGGCCAGAGGUGAAAUUCUUGGAUUCAUUGGAGACUGCCUACUGCGAAAGCAUUCACCAAGGAUAUUUUCUUUAAUCAGGAACGAAAGUUUGGGGAUCGAAGACGAUCAGAUACCGUCGUAGUCCUAACCAUAAACAAUGCCGGCUGGAGCUUGGAUGUCGUUGCUCUAGUCCAACACCUUCGGGAUCUUUAGAGAAAUCGGAAGCCUUUAGGUUCCGGGGGGAGUAUGGCCGCAAGGCUGAAACUUAAAGGAAUUGACGGAAGGGCACCACCAGGAGUGGAGCCUGCGGCUUAAUUUGACUCAACUCAGGAAAACUUACCAGGUCCAGACGUAAAAAGGAUUGACAGAUUGACGAUCUUUCUUAAUUCUACGGGUUGUGGUGCAUGGCCGUUCUUAGUUGGUGGAGUAAUUUGUCUGGUUAAUUCCGAUAACGAACGAGACCUUGGCCUACUAAAUAGUUCGGAUUACUAAUUUUUUAGUACGUUUGACUUCUUAGAGGGACUACCGGUGAUAACAGCAGCCGGGGGAAGGACAAGGCAAUAACAGGUCUGUGAUGCCCUUAGAUGUUCUGGGCUGCACGCGCGCUACAAUGGUCAGUAAAGCUAGUUUAAUGUUAGAAGCAACCCAUGCUGAGAAGACUGGGAAAUCAUGUCUAUACUGAUCGUGAUUGGAAUAAGUGUUUGGAAACAUUCACUUUGAAACGAGGAAUUCCUAGUAAACGCAAGUCAACAUCUUGCAUUGAAUACGUCCCUGCCCUUUGUACACACCGCCCGUCGCUACUACCGAUUGAGUGGUAUAGUGAGCUCCACAGACCUGUGUAGCAUUUUAGACCGUAGAUGGUUCAAAAGUUCUUAACUUAAGUGACGUGGAUCAAACUUGAUCGCUUAGAGGAAGUAAAAGUCGUAACAAGGUUACCGUAGUGACCUCCUGCCAGAAA